rnacentral:lncRNA from 1 species
GUGACAAUUGUGCAUGCAAUCUAGAACAUGACUUGUCUUUUGCAUCACUGCUGCCACUGCUAAAUGCACUACCCACCACCUUCCUAUUAAGCAAGUACUGAUGAAUGUCAGUUGAAUCCUGGCCUACAGCAUCAAAGGCUGUCUCUUUUGGGGCCAUUACUGAGUAAGCUGCUGUUGAUGCCGGAGGAAUCAUAGCCUUCCUGCUGUACCACCAGCACUAGCAGCCUCCACCUUGAGAACAGAGACAAAGUGAUCUGUCUGAACAAGAUCCAUCAGGUAUCUCCCAGAAUGAUGGGGCACCACGGCCUUCAGAAUAUGCUCAGUGACAACUGUCACUGAGAAGCAGCUGAAAAAGCAGCCUGCAGAAGAAAUGAGGAGGCAGAUGCAGGCAAGAAGAGGGUGACGAAGACAAACAAGAUACUGUGUAGAACAAGAUGAUAAGCACCCUAUCCUGAUUUGCUGUAUUACUGCCCUAUGCAAUGAUCCCAUAAAGCAG